rnacentral:lncRNA from 1 species
CAGUUUUAUUCAUUUUCAGAUUCACUCAUGAGUGAUGAUAAUAGAUAUUUAGGUAUUUACAAUAAAAAUAAAUAAAUUGUCUACUCGAGUGCCUGCAACGUAAAAUAUCAAUUGUGACUCACUCUUAUAAACACAACUAUUUCUAAACAUUUGCCAAAUAUAUGCUUAGUCUUCACCCAUACUGUUCAAUCAAAUUAUUCUGAAAACCCAGAGUUACAUUUUGAAAGACUGAAUUAAUAUCCCAAGGCAACAGCACUAAAAAUGCCAAAAUCAAAUGAAUUCCAGGGAACAUACAUUUACUAAAAGUCUCUUUCAGAGUGGGGGAAAAAUUACAUAGCAGUAAGGAGAGCUAAUACGGAAGAUCAAUAGGGAAGGUCGCCUUCAGGUAGAUCCCAAUUAUCAUCCUCCUCUUCCUUCUUGUUCUUGGGCGUCUCUUGUCUAUCCUGAGUGAAGUUUCUUGAUUGAGGGCGUCUGUUGUAGUGAAAGUAACAUUAUCAUUGAAGAAUACGAUACGAGUAUGAUAACUUUCCAAUGUAUCCAUUUGCUUUUAUUCAGCCAAAAAAUUUAAAAAUAAAAAAUAAAAAAAAUCAUCACAAUUGUGUACCAUGGCUAAUAUAAGCAUGAAAAACUAUAAACAAUAGAUGUCCGCCCUCUAAUAUAUCCCCAAUCUACCUCAAGGGUCUUAGAAACGAAAAGAAACUCAAGCUAACAUAUUACUAUCACAGAGCAUUUGGAUAUCAAAGAAAAAUGGCCUUGGGCUGUCCAAAAUCUGCUCGAAAAAGCUAGAUCAUUAUGAAGCAAAAUGGAGAUCACAUUUUGGAGGGAAGAGACAGUCACUUCAGAUUGCAUGCCUAGUGCUGGUUGUCUUGAAAAGUGCUAAAAGUCCCAAAGCAAGCUGAUUUGAAGGAGAAAUUUGGGUCAUCCUCAAGCUAGACAAGUUGGGUGUACCUAACAUAGGAAGCAAAGUAGAGGAGUUUUAUGGGGUUGUGUGAGCUGAGUGAGUGUUUGUAAUUCCUAAUCUAUGUAUCCCUCGAAUUUCUUUCCUUUACCUUUUAAUCCACUACGAAGAUGGUCUAGUUAUGGAUUUGCUGACUCUUGGCAAUGGCAGUACUACUUUGACGUCUAGAUCUUUAUGAGAAAAACCUCUCACUCACUUUCUCCAUUGUAAAUGCAAUUCCGGAGGUAAGAUGGCCAUGUCACCAUCCAAAUUUUUUGUCCGACACUAAACUUUAUGCUAACAAACCAACUAUCCAUCAGAAAAAAGUGCAAUGUAAUUUGAAAAGAGUGAAAGAAAAAGGGUAUCUUCUCCUUUCAGAGGGGAUUUUCAAAACUUCUCUUCAAGAAGUAAAGCAAUCCAAUUGCAAAUUGUCGAUUUGGUUUCCAUGUCUUGAAUAAUUUAGAAUGGCAGAAGCAAACAAUCCAACUGCAAUUGUUGAUUGUGUUGUAUAAUUUUGAAAGGCAACAUCCCAUAAGUAUUCAUUUUUACUUUUUGAUUUAUUCAAGAGUAAUAUUAUUUAGUUUGACACUACUAAUGCUAAGUAACAUUAACAUUAUUCUUUAUACGAAGAUAACUUGAGUCCACCACCAUAUUGUUUUUGGUCAUUGUUAGUCUCCAACAUUAAUUCUUCCUUAUUAUUGUUCUUUCUUUCUUCCUGAAUUGUCUAUUGUUGAGGUUCAUCAUUUUUCAACUAUCUCUUAUUGUCAAAACUAUCCCGUAUCCUGCAAUGCAGUUUUAUUCAUUUUCAGAUUCACUCAUGAGUGAUGAUAAUAGAUAUUUAGAUAUUUACAAUAAAAAUAAAUAAAUUGUCUACUCGAGUGCCUGCAACGUAAAAUAUCAAUUGUGACUCAUUCUUAUAAACACAACUAUUUCUAAACAUUUGCCAAAUAUAUGCUUAGUCUUCACCCAUACUGUUCAAUCAAAUUAUUCUGAAAACCCAGAGUUACAUUUUGAAAGACGGAAUUAAUAGCCCAAGGCAACAGCACUAAAAAUGCCAAAAUCAAAUGAAUUCCAGGGAACAUACAUUUACUAAAAGUCUCUUUCAGAGUGGGGGAAAAAUUACAUAGCAGUAAGGAGAGCUAAUACGGAAGAUCAAUAGGGAAGGUCGCCUUCAGGUAGAUCCCAAUUAUCAUCCUCCUCUUCCUUCUUGUUCUUGGGCGUCUCUUGUCUAUCCUGAGUGAAGUUUCUUGAUUGAGGGCGUCUGUUGUAGUGAAAGUAACAUUAUCAUUGAAGAAUACGAUACGAGUAUGAUAACUUUCCAAUGUAUCCAUUUGCUUUUAUUCAGCCAAAAAAUUUAAAAAUAAAAAAUAAAAAAAAUCAUCACAAUUGUGUACCAUGGCUAAUAUAAGCAUGAAAAACUAUAAACAAUAGAUGUCCGCCCUCUAAUAUAUCCCCAA